AUCACUUCUCAGCCUUUUGGCUAAGAUCAAGUGUAGUAUCUGUUUUCUCAGUUUAAUAUCUGAUAUGUCCUAAAUUAAAAAUAAUAAAAAAGAAUGAUUGUAAAGGGGAGAUACGAGAAACCAGAGAAUCCAC
ensembl:snRNA U2 U2 spliceosomal RNA